rnacentral:rRNA from 1 species
UACGGAGGGUGGCAAGCGUUAUCCGGAUUCACUGGGUUUAAAGGGUGCGUAGGAGGGCAGGUAAGUCAGUGGUGAAAUCCUAGAAGCUUAACUCUAGAACUGCCGUUGAUAACUAUCUAUCUUGAAUAUUGUGGAGGUGAGCGGAAAUAUGUCAUGUAGCGGUGAAAUGCUUAGAUAUGACAUAGAACACCAAUUGCGAAGGCAGCUCGCUACACAUAUAUUGACUCUGAGGCACGAAAGCGUGGGGAAGCAA